rnacentral:miRNA from 1 species
GACGUCGAUAUUCGACGUCAUAAACACGAUCAGCUUUGGUGUUUUGACGUCGACGUUAUAAACACGAUUAACUUUGGUGUUUAUGACGUUGAUAUUCAACGUCAUAAACACGAUCAACUUUGGUGUUUAUGACGUCGAUAUUCGACGUCAGAAACCGGACCAACUUUGGUGUUUAUGACGUUGACGUUAUAAACACGAUAAGCUUUGGUGUUUAUGACAUCGAUAUUCGACGUC